UGAACUUCUAUGAGUAUCGGUAUCCAAACGAAGGGAAAAGUACCCUUGGAAAUAGUAUAUAUUGUUUUGAGAUGGCCUUAGCAGUAGGGUGAAAUGAGAAUUACCUUGGUGGCCUAUGAGGAAGGUUUUCACUGUCUUAGCAAGAGUUCACAUCUAAAAACAAGGAAUUUAAUUAUCGACAACUGUUGCAUCUGGUGACCGUAUUAACAUGGAAUGCAUGGAUUAGAUGCUGCAAUUCUCAUUUAUUGAGUGAGUGGUUUGGUUGGACUAUGGUCAGAAUGUUGGAAGUUCAAGCUGGCGAGUUCAAAUAUGUAUUAUUAAGCUCAAGCUGGAGGC
rnacentral:lncRNA from 1 species